rnacentral:rRNA from 1 species
CCUACGGGAGGCAGCAGUGGGGAAUAUUGCACAAUGGGGGAAACCCUGAUGCAGCGACGCCGCGUGAGUGAAGAAGGAUUUAGGUUUGUAAAGCCCUGUCAGCAGGGAAGAUUAUGACGGUAUCUGACCAAUAAGCACCGGCUAACUCCGUGCCAGCAGCCGCGGUAAUACGUAGGGUGCAAGCGUUACCCGGAUUUACUGGGUGUAAAGGGUGCGUAGACGGGGGGGUAAGUCAGAUGUGAAAUGCGGUGGCUUAACUACAGGACUGCACUGGAAACUGCCAGGCUGGAGUGGAGGAGAGGUAAGUGGAAUUCCUGGUGUAGCGGUAAAAUGCGUAGAGAUCAGGAGGAAUACUAGUGGCGAAGGCGACUUGCUGGACUGUAACUGACGUUGAGGCACGAAAGCGUGGGGAGCAAACAGGAUUAGAUACCCCUGUAGUC